GAUGGUAUAGCUCAAGCGGUAGAGCAGCAAUUUCAUAUGUUGCGGGUUGCAGGUUCAAGUCCUGCUACCAUCAC
rnacentral:tRNA from 1 species